rnacentral:rRNA from 1 species
AGUCGAACGAUGAUCCCAGCUUGCUGGGGGAUUAGUGGCGAACGGGUGAGUAACACGUGAGUAACCUGCCCUUGACUCUGGGAUAAGCCUGGGAAACUGGGUCUAAUACCGGAUAUGACUCCUCAUCGCAUGGUGGGGGGUGGAAAGCUUUUGUGGUUUUGGAUGGACUCGCGGCCUAUCAGCUUGUUGGUGGGGUAAUGGCCUACCAAGGCGACGACGGGUAGCCGGCCUGAGAGGGUGACCGGCCACACUGGGACUGAGACACGGCCCAGACUCCUACGGGAGGCAGCAGUGGGGAAUAUUGCACAAUGGGCGAAAGCCUGAUGCAGCGACGCCGCGUGAGGGAUGACGGCCUUCGGGUUGUAAACCUCUUUCAGUAGGGAAGAAGCGAAAGUGACGGUACCUGCAGAAGAAGCGCCGGCUAACUACGUGCCAGCAGCCGCGGUAAUACGUAGGGCGCAAGCGUUAUCCGGAAUUAUUGGGCGUAAAGAGCUCGUAGGCGGUUUGUCGCGUCUGCUGUGAAAGACCGGGGCUCAACUCCGGUUCUGCAGUGGGUACGGGCAGACUAGAGUGCAGUAGGGGAGACUGGAAUUCCUGGUGUAGCGGUGAAAUGCGCAGAUAUCAGGAGGAACACCGAUGGCGAAGGCAGGUCUCUGGGCUGUAACUGACGCUGAGGAGCGAAAGCAUGGGGAGCGAACAGGAUUAGAUACCCUGGUAGUCCAUGCCGUAAACGUUGGGCACUAGGUGUGGGGGACAUUCCACGUUUUCCGCGCCGUAGCUAACGCAUUAAGUGCCCCGCCUGGGGAGUACGGCCGCAAGGCUAAAACUCAAAGGAAUUGACGGGGGCCCGCACAAGCGGCGGAGCAUGCGGAUUAAUUCGAUGCAACGCGAAGAACCUUACCAAGGCUUGACAUGAACCGGAAAGACCUGGAAACAGGUGCCCCGCUUGCGGUCGGUUUACAGGUGGUGCAUGGUUGUCGUCAGCUCGUGUCGUGAGAUGUUGGGUUAAGUCCCGCAACGAGCGCAACCCUCGUUCUAUGUUGCCAGCGCGUGAUGGCGGGGACUCAUAGGAGACUGCCGGGGUCAACUCGGAGGAAGGUGGGGACGACGUCAAAUCAUCAUGCCCCUUAUGUCUUGGGCUUCACGCAUGCUACAAUGGCCGGUACAAAGGGUUGCGAUACUGUGAGGUGGAGCUAAUCCCAAAAAGCCGGUCUCAGUUCGGAUUGGGGUCUGCAACUCGACCCCAUGAAGUCGGAGUCGCUAGUAAUCG